rnacentral:lncRNA from 10 species
GUGAGUGGAGAAACUGACUCCCGUUCCUGGUCAGAGGACCCGCAGCAUCACAUUGCAGAGGACUGGAGCUGGGUGGAACACAAUUGAUGACCUCAUGGGCACUUGGACGAGGAAAAGAGAGGCAGCGCAAAUGCAGGUCUUUGCAGUUCUGUUCGGAAGGUUGUUAAUGAUCUACCCUGCCUCUAGGCUGAAUCCUGAGAUGUGGAGAUUUGGACUAUGUGGAUGGAGAAGGGUCAGGGAAAGCCUAGUGGAAGAUGUGUGAUCAGGCUGUACUGUGAGGCUGCCAAAGCUCAAAACAAACUAAAAUAGGACAAGCUGUGGGAAGAACAGAUGAGCAGGCCUUAAAUGCUAAGCUCAGACACUGGGCUUGCUAGGCCAGGAAACCCCCAGCCAAGGAUGGGUUCUAACUGAUUUCUGUGUCCCGAAUAGAGCCUGACACCAGGCGAUUUGCCACGAGAAGGACAUGGCCUGGUGGCUACUGCACCUUCAGCUUCCGCACACAUAAAUACAUAUGGAACACACCGGACCUAGUCUCCAGCCUGGAGCCAUGCCUACAGCAUGGCUGAAGCAUGAAGCAGGGCUAACUGGCCACAUUCAACCUCCAUCAGCUGAAGCACAAUACACCUGCAAACCUAUGAGUCUGAGAAUAAAGGCUUGUUAUUGAAAGCCACUAAGAUUUGGGGUGGUUUGUUAUCCAACAUUCUGAUGGCAACAGCAGUAAUAGAUCACCAGGUCUUUGUGAUUUUGCUUUUAAAUAAAUUCACUAAUUCUAAA